UAGGGAAUCUUCCACAACGGACGCAAGUCUGAUGGAGCAACGCCGCGUGAGUGAAGAAGGUUUUCGGAUCGUAAAGCUCUGUUGUUGGUGAAGAAGGAUAGAGGCAGUAACUGGUCUUUAUUUGACGGUAAUCAACCAGAAAGUCACGGCUAACUACGUGCCAGCAGCCGCGGUAAUACGUAGGUGGCAAGCGUUGUCCGGAUUUAUUGGGCGUAAAGCGAGCGCAGGCGGAUUGAUAAGUCUGAUGUGAAAGCCCACGGCUCAACCGUGGAACUGCAUCGGAAACUGUCAUUCUUGAGUGCAGAAGAGGAGAGUGGAAUUCCAUGUGUAGCGGUGGAAUGCGUAGAUAUAUGGAAGAACACCAGUGGCGAAGGCGGCUCUCUGGUCUGCAACUGACGCUGAGGCUCGAAAGCAUGGGUAGCGAACAGG
rnacentral:rRNA from 1 species